GCGAUAGGAUAGCUCAGUCAGUAGAGCACAAGACUCUUAAUCUCAGGGCUGUGGGUUCGAGCCCCACGUUGGGCA